rnacentral:rRNA from 1 species
GAUGAACGCUGGCGGCGUGCCUAAUACAUGCAAGUCGAGCGAACAGACGAGGAGCUUGCUCCUCUGACGUUAGCGGCGGACGGGUGAGUAACACGUGGAUAACCUACCUAUAAGACUGGGAUAACUUCGGGAAACCGGAGCUAAUACCGGAUAAUAUAUUGAACCGCAUGGUUCAAUAGUGAAAGACGGUUUUGCUGUCACUUAUAGAUGGAUCCGCGCCGCAUUAGCUAGUUGGUAAGGUAACGGCUUACCAAGGCAACGAUGCGUAGCCGACCUGAGAGGAGGAGCGGCAACAGUGGAAAGAAGACCCGGCCCAACUCCCUCGGGGAGGAACAAGGCGGAAUUCUUCGGCAAGGGCGGAAAGCCGGAGGGAGCAACCCCGGGGGAGGGAAGAAGGUUUCAGGAUGUAAAAACUUUUUUAUGGGGGAAAAAAAAAUGUAUAAGAACAAAUCCACGUCUUGAGGGUACUUAAAAAAAAGACCACGGCAAACUCCGUC